rnacentral:lncRNA from 1 species
CCCUAUGUGUCAUCCUUCCUUAUUUUGUUCUCUCUUUCUAUUUGAAUUUGAUUUAAACUAAAAAAAAUAAUAUCUAAAAGAAAAGAUGUUGGACCUUAAUUUUGUACAGCAAAAAUCUAGAAACUAAAGUGGACGUGUGCUAUUUUUUGGUGUGAGCUUCUUCUUGCCGCACAACACAAUCCCAACACCCAACCUUCUUUCUUCCUUUCAUCUCCACACCA